GACGAACGCUGGCGGCGUGCUUAACACAUGCAAGUCGAACGGUAAGGCCCCUUCGGGGGUACACGAGUGGCGAACGGGUGAGUAACACGUGAGCAACCUGCCCUUGACACUGGAAUAACAGUUGGAAACAGCUGCUAAUGCCGGAUACGACCUUCGGUGGCAUCACCUGGAGGUGGAAAGUGCUUAGCGGUCAAGGAUGGGCUCGCGGCCUAUCAGCUAGUUGGUGAGGUAACGGCUCACCAAGGCUUCGACGGGUAGCCGGCCUGAGAGGGCGACCGGCCACACUGGGACUGAGACACGGCCCAGACUCCUACGGGAGGCAGCAGUGGGGAAUAUUGGACAAUGGGCGGAAGCCUGAUCCAGCAACGCCGCGUGAGGGAUGACGGCCUUCGGGUUGUAAACCUCUUUCAGUACCGACGAAGCGCCGAUGAUGGUGGUGACGGUAGGUACAGAAGAAGCACCGGCCAACUACGUGCCAGCAGCCGCAGUAAAAC
rnacentral:rRNA from 1 species